rnacentral:rRNA from 1 species
AACGAACGCUGGCGGCAUGCCUAACACAUGCAAGUCGAACGAGACCUUCGGGUCUAGUGGCGCACGGGUGCGUAACGCGUCGGAACCUGCCCUUAGGGUCGGAAUAACUCCCCGAAAGGGGUGCUAAUACCGGAUAGUGUCUUCGGACCAAAGAUUUAUCGCCUUUGGAUGGGCCCGCGUUGGAUUAGCUAGUUGGUAGGGUAAAAGCCUACCAAGGCGACGAUCCAUAGCUUGUCUGAGAGGAUGAUCAGCCACACUGGGACUGAGACACGGCCCAGACUCCUACGGGAGGCAGCAGUGGGGAAUAGUGGACAAUGGGGGAAAGCCUGAUCCAGCAAGGCCGCGUGAGUGAUGAAGGCCUUAGGGUUGUAAAGCUCUAUUACCCGGGAUGAUAAUGACAGUACCGGGAGAAUAAGCUCCGGCUAACUCCGUG